CUCCGGUGGAUCCUGCCGGACCCGACUGCUAUCAGAGUGAGAUUAAGCCAUGCGAGUUAACGUAGCAAUACGUGGCGCACGGCUCAGUAACACGUAGUCAACAUGCCCAGAGGACGUGGAUAACCUCGGGAAACUGAGUCUAAACCGCGAUAAGUGAGGAUUUCUGGAAUGGUUCCUGACUAAAAUCUAUAUGGCCUCUGGAUUGGACUGCGGCCGAUCAGGCUGUUGGUGAGGUAAUGGCCCACCAAACCUGUAACCGGUACGGGCUCUGAGAGGAGGAGCCCGGAGAUGGGCACUGAGACAAGGGCCCAGGCCCUAUGGGGCGCAGCAGGCGCGAAACCUCUGCAAUAGGCGAAAGCCUGACAGGGUUACUCUGAGUGACUUUCGCUAAGAAAGUCUUUUGGCACCUCUAAAAAGGGUGCAGAAUAAGGGGUGGGCAAGUCUGGUGUCAGCCGCCGCGGUAAUACCAGCACCCCGAGUGGUCGGGACGAUUAUUGGGCCUAAAGCAUCCGUAGCCGGUUCUGCAAGUCCCCCGUUAAAUCCAGCUGCUCAACAGAUGGGCCGCGGAGGAUACUACAGAGCUAGGAGGCGGGAGAGGCAAGCGGUACUCGAUGGGUAGGGGUAAAAUCCGUUGAUCCAUUGAAGACCACCAGUGGCGAAGGCGGCUUGCCAGAACGCGCUCGACGGUGAGGGAUGAAAGCUGGGGGAGCAAACCGGAUUAGAUACCCGGGUAGUCCCAGCUGUAAACGAUGCAGACUCGGUGAUGAGUUGGCUUAUUGCUAACUCAGUGCCGCAGGGAAGCCGUUAAGUUUGCCGCCUGGGGAGUACGGUCGCAAGACUGAAACUUAAAGGAAUUGGCGGGGGAGCA
rnacentral:rRNA from 1 species